rnacentral:rRNA from 1 species
AUGAACGCUGGCGGCGUGCCUAAUACAUGCAAGUCGAGCGAACAGAUGAGGAGCUUGCUCCUCUGACGUUAGCGGCGGACGGGUGAGUAACACGUGGAUAACCUACCUAUAAGCCUGGGAUAACUUCGGGAAACCGGAGCUAAUACCGGAUAAUAUAUUGAACCGCAUGGUUCAAUAGUGAAAGACGGUUUUGCUGUCACUUAUAGAUGGAUCCGCGCCGCAUUAGCUAGUUGGUAAGGUAACGGCUUACCAAGGCAACGAUGCGUAGCCGACCUGAGAGGGUGAUCGGCCACACUGGAACUGAGACACGGUCCAGACUCCUACGGGAGGCAGCAGUAGGGAAUCUUCCGCAAUGGGCGAAAGCCUGACGGAGCAACGCCGCGUGAGUGAUGAAGGUCUUCGGAUCGUAAAACUCUGUUAUUAGGGAAGAACAAAUGUGUAAGUAACUAUGCACGUCUUGACGGUACCUAAUCAGAAAGCCACGGCUAACUACGUG